UACAGAGGUCCCAAGCGUUGUUCGGAUUCAUUGGGCGUGAAGGGUGCGUAGGCGGCGGGGUAAGUCGGAUGUGAAAUCUCGGGGCUCAACCUCGAAACUGCAUUCGAUACUGCCUUGCUAGAGUACUGGAGAGGAGAUCGGAAUUUACGGUGUAGCAGUGAAAUGCGUAGAUAUCGUAAGGAAGACCAGUGGCGAAGGCGGAUCGCUGGACAGUUACUGACACUGAGGCACGAAAGCCAGGCGAGCAAACGGG
rnacentral:rRNA from 1 species